rnacentral:rRNA from 1 species
UUGCUUCUCUUGAGAGCGGCGGACGGGUGAGUAAUGCCUAGGAAUCUGCCUGGUAGUGGGGGAUAACGUUCGGAAACGGACGCUAAUACCGCAUACGUCCUACGGGAGAAAGCAGGGGACCUUCGGGCCUUGCGCUAUCAGAUGAGCCUAGGUCGGAUUAGCUAGUUGGUGGGGUAAUGGCUCACCAAGGCGACGAUCCGUAACUGGUCUGAGAGGAUGAUCAGUCACACUGGAACUGAGACACGGUCCAGACUCCUACGGGAGGCAGCAGUGGGGAAUAUUGGACAAUGGGCGAAAGCCUGAUCCAGCCAUGCCGCGUGUGUGAAGAAGGUCUUCGGAUUGUAAAGCACUUUAAGUUGGGAGGAAGGGUUGUAGAUUAAUACUCUGCAAUUUUGACGUUACCGACAGAAUAAGCACCGGCUAACUCUGUGCCAGCAGCCGCGGUAAUACAGAGGGUGCAAGCGUUAAUCGGAAUUACUGGGCGUAAAGCGCGCGUAGGUGGUUUGUUAAGUUGGAUGUGAAAUCCCCGGGCUCAACCUGGGAACUGCAUUCAAAACUGACUGACUAGAGUAUGGUAGAGGGUGGUGGAAUUUCCUGUGUAGCGGUGAAAUGCGUAGAUAUAGGAAGGAACACCAGUGGCGAAAGCGACCACCUGGACUAAUACUGACACUGA